rnacentral:rRNA from 1 species
CCUACGGGGGGCAGCAGUGGGGAAUAUUGGACAAUGGGGGGAACCCUGAUCCAGCCAUGCCGCGUGUGUGAAGAAGGCCCUCGGGUUGUAAAGCACUUUCAGUGAGGAAGAACGCCUGGUGGUUAAUACCCAUCAGGAAAGACAUCACUCACAGAAGAAGCACCGGCUAACUCCGUGCCAGCAGCCGCGGUAAUACGGAGGGUGCGAGCGUUAAUCGGAAUUACUGGGCGUAAAGCGCGCGUAGGUGGCUUGAUAAGCCGGUUGUGAAAGCUCCGGGCUCAACCUGGGAACGGCAUCCGGAACUGUCAAGCUAGAGUGCAGGAGAGGAAGGUAGAAUUCCCGGUGUAGCGGUGAAAUGCGUAGAGAUCGGGAGGAAUACCAGUGGCGAAGGCGGCCUUCUGGACUGACACUGACACUGAGGUGCGAAAGCGUGGGUAGCAAACAGGAUUAGAUACCCGUGUAGUC